UUAUUUUUUCUCUCAACUGGUUUAGCUCUUUUAUGGUAUCAGAGCAUUAACAAGCUCCCACGAGUCUUCUAAAAUGAUUCUAAACCUGUCUUCUCCUUUAUUGAAUUGCUUUUUCAUCAUAGCAGAAAAGAGCACAACCACAUCUUUCUCUCCUAACCAAAGCAAUCUCAUUGUUCUCAACUCAACACAAUUGCCUGUUAAAUUAACUCCAGAGAACUAUCUUUCAUGGAAAGCUCAGUUUGACUCAUAGCUUUUUGGCUACGAUGUGACGUCCCCAAAUUGGGUCGCCAGAUACACAGUACAGAAUUCAAAUACAAACUUCAUUUAUACAACUGUUGAACUGUCGUGCAAAAUACGCACUACUACAAAACAGUAAAUAGAUAACGCGGAAAAAACGUUGUGGUUUCAAUCAGAAAAACGUCGUGGUUAAGGGUGUUAUCUAUUUGACACACUUACACAACGUUUUUAAAACGUUGUAGUUAAGCACAAUACACAACGUUUUUUAGGAAAAAAACGUUGUAGAUUUGUUUUCCAAAAAUUAGCAAAUGCUUAAAAAUGUUGUAGAAGGUAUGAUUCCACAACGUUUUUUGGAUAAAAAUGUUGUUGUUUAUAUAAAUAUACAACAUUUUUAAAAUGUUGUAGAUAAAAAAGAAAAAGAAAAAAAAAGGUGUGAUUCACAUAAGCUGUGAGUUUUAAUACAAUAUUGUCUCGUAGACAGUAUCCAAACUCAAAUUAUUACGAUGCCAUAUAAAAUACAGCAGCAAAUAUUUCAAGACCCCAAAGAAGAACGAGAAGAUUGCUAUCUAUUGUCCAUUCUAAUGAGGUGCACUUUUGACGCUUUCAAAGUCGGGUUCUCAUCACCCUAUUGUUGUUCACCAAAAUCAAUUAUUAAGUGACGUAUAAUAUACGACACACCCAUCUAAGGUCCUCAAUAUAAUUAUAUAUUGCAUGUCAUGCAAUUUUAUAAUGUAUUGAGAAACUUCUACAGUCUCGGACCAUCACACUAUUCCCCUGUUAUCCCCGCUCGACCCAGCUACACUCUUAAUACCUGUAAGAAAUUGUGAAGCAAAAGGGUGAGCACAAAUAGCCCAGUAAAGUAUGACUAAGAUAAUUAAUUUAUCAAUGGCCUUCAUCAGUAAUAAAUCAGAGAUUUAGAAUAUAUGGUAGAUAAUAAAAGUUUUCAACCAUAAUUGCAGCGGAAUCAACAAUCCAUUAGAAGAGUCAAGUAGAACAUAAUGUCUCUCCAAAUUAAAAUUCCAUCGUUAAUAGUUUAUUCCUGUAAUACUCAUUAAAAGUUCUUUGUUGUACCCAAGACAAAGAAAACUCUCAUCACCUGUCUUCACCUUAAAAGGAGAGUAUUCCGACUGGUAUAGCGGAGAUAUUCUUGAAGAAAAGCUUGCACUAUUUGUUAUACUCAAAGUUUCCUUAACUCAAAAGAAAUACGCUCAAUAUUAUAGAAGAAAUUUUUUUUGAUCCUGGUGUUAUUUUCAUUUCUAAACUAAACAUCCUAUUUAUAGGAGAAUGGCAGGAUACUAUUUAAGAAAAAUAAUCACGGACUGCACAGUGGAUUUCAAACGAUUUCACGGGGGAAGAAUUCUGAUUUUUUUUAUUAUUUUACUAUGCAACAC
rnacentral:lncRNA from 1 species